AUAUAGCCAUCGAUAGAGGAAAUCUGAGCGCACUGCCAAUGAGGACAGGAAUCAAUGGAUGCUGCAUGUUCCAGGCCUGAGCCCACGAUUGCAGAGAAACAAUGCUGCUUUCUCUGGCAGGCCAGACAAUCGUUUUGAGGCCACCAGGCUGCAAUGCCCACAGCCAAAGAUCCAGGCCCCUGACACCCUGGGACCACCAGAACACCCUAGGGCUGUGGUCUGCACGGAGGUCCCAAGCCCCGAGGACCCUUCCAGAGAGCGGCUAGCUGAAUAGAGAGCCUGUUCCGCCUGGUCUCUGCCACUGUCCGGGUUUUCAGCACCACCUCGCCAACAGCCAUUAUCCUUUGGGGAAUGGGCUCUGUACUAAGGAAUACUCCAUCCAGCUGCUCUGUAGGAGGAUGGGAGGGAGCCACAAUACUGUGACACCCCAGCACACUGAUGAUGCUAUCCUCUAGUCCAGUGGUUCCCAACCUUUUUUCAGGUAACUGAAUUUUGAUCUGCCCGGAGUACCACGGAAGUACCUCCUCAUGUGCAUUUUACCAGUCGGCCUAUUAUCUCAUGAGUCUUCUCAAGUACCCCCCUGUUGAUAGGCCAAAUACCCCCCCCCCCCCCCCGGAAGUCCUAGUACCCCUGGUUGGGAACCACUGCUCUAGUCUGUGGGCUGUUGUGCUGCUGCCUGCUGGGGGCGGAACACAUCCCAGGGGGCGUGGCCAUGGUGGCAGGUUAGGAUCCUUGAUUCCGUAAGCCUGUGCUCAGACACACUCUCCUUUCAUCUCCGAAUAAAGAAAAGAAAACUGAAGCGCUUCGUAGGUUUUUCUGGUACUAAAUACUUCCUGUUUCAUUUGGAUGCUGAUAACAAUUUAGGGAAGAAGAAGAAGAAGAAAAAGAAGAAAAGAAAAUACAUAAUAAGGAUGACUAGCAUGACGACUCCACGAUUUGUUCUGUUUUUAUCUUUACAUUCCAGAAUGAAAGAAGGCACCGUUUUUUUUUUAUGCUGACUCAUUCUUUGUCUUUUUUUUAUGUGUCUAAGAAGUGUAUAGUGGAUUUAGGAUUUUGAAUGCAUGGAACUUUAUAUCCAAGACCUUACACUGUUCACCAUUUCAAUCACAGAGGCCAUAAGACACUGGUUAAUAAUAAAACUAAUUUACAAAACUCCAAAAGAAGACAAGGUGGACAUAACACUGAAUCUGGCCACAGAAUGGGAGAAUCAUCAUUCGGGCGGUUUUGGUUGCACCAUGAGAGUCGAAUGUGGCUAGGUUUUUUUUUUUUCAGCCAUUGCAAAGCCAUUAAUAAGAAAAUAAAAAACAUCCCCAGAACGUUUGGGUUCAUAGUGUUUCUGAACCUUCCCACAACGUUUGGAUUUCUGGUGUUUAUUAAUUUUAUUUUUUAUUUUUUUUACAACAGUUUUUCGUUCUCGCUCUGUAUUUGCCUGAUUUUCUGUUACAUGAUAGCGGAUUCGCCUUAAUCAUGCCAUUCUUUUUAUUUAGAGGAAAGUGACAUCUCUUAUUUUUGUACUCCAUGUUGUGUCCAUAAAGCUUAUUUUCAUUGCAGACUUUUUUUAUGUGAUAAUGAUGUCAGCUAGAACACUGACUGUGAGAUUCAUUUAAUAUUUUUGUAUGUUGUUUCACUUUUAGGUUUGAAAUGAUUUAUAUGAUUUAUUUUUCAUACAUUUAUGUGUUUAUGGUUGCCAUAAUAAUUGAUUACGUUAUUUAUUGAUUUAUGAUUUAUGAUGAUUUAUGAAAAUGCAAUAGUAUGUGGAAAGAAGUCAGUAAAGAACACAGCCUUGUGUCAUUUAAAAAAUCAGUGGUCAGGAAUGUGUUGCCUCUGUCUGUAUAUCUGAGUUGUGCGAUUUUCUGCUAUCACAUCUUAACAGGGCCACACCUGGGUCACAUUCAUUAGGCACCAAACCGAAGAAACAACGGACUGAAACAGGGAGGUACUACCUGAAAUUGUCCAAUAAGAAGCCCUAAUUUUCAUUUUUCUGUUGUAAAACGUUUUGCAACGGUGUGCUCUAAUGAAUACGACCCUGGAAAUCCAUUCUUGUACUUUGUUACUGCCCAGACAAGGCACAUACUAUCUGCCCAUUUUGAUAUGUGAGCACUGCAAGACAGCAGAGAGGCACUGAAUACAAACCAGUGCAAAUCACCAUUGAAUCUGACUUGAAGUACUUUAGCCUUCUAUUGUUGACUGUCAUCAUCAUCAAUGGGUUUUCAUGUUUUCUGGCUUACUACAAAUGUUUUAAUAUCCAAAAGAACACAAAAAGGAAAAGAGAUAAUACUUACUGACUGAAGUAGUACAUAUAGGCUAUGUGUUUCAAAUAUACUGAGGUUGACACACUGGAGAAACCUAGUCUGCGCACACUCACAUGUGGCUGUAUGAGUUAUGUGCAUGUUAAAGGUGUUUGGAGCAUUAGACGCUGAAGGGUCAAAGAUACAGUUGGUUCAGUCACAGAGAGUUAUUUGCCUUUGUUUUUGCGACCAAACUGCAAACCCCAAGAUGUUGACAGUUGUCACAGAAACCUCUCAGGUCAGUGUUCUUCCUGCUGUUCUUUGCAGUGCAGUGUAGUUCGACUGGUCAGGUGGGACUGGUCAGGCACUCCGAUGCUACAGGGGCCMACUGAUGGGAUCCCAAACCUGAUGUAUAUUGUCUCUCUCUCUCUCUCUGUGUGUGUGGACGCUGGGAUAAAGCAUGCUCCGGCAAAAUCUCAGUAACAGUCACUUCUGUAUCGUUACGGUCCUGAUGUCUGUGUGUAUGUGUGAGUAUGCGUGUGUUUCUCAUCAUCCUAUUACAAAACCACAAAACAAACCAAUAUUUGAAAAAUAAAACAUAAGUGUGUGGUCGACAGCAACUUUUCCAUUUCAAACGUUCUAUGCAAUUAAUCAUAUUUAGGGGGAAUACGAGGGAAGAAAAAAACAACUGAAUAUCACUAUCGUUGUCAUGCCUGAGAAAAAUACUGCUUUAUUGUAGCGUUCCUGCUACAAAAACAAAUUGACUUGUUUGUAUAUAGCUACAAUACUUUUACGUCAGGAAUUUGAUUCAAUGUUUUUUUGGGGGGGGCAUGUUUGAGUCUCCUCACUGAAAAUUGGGACCCGUUGCCAAAGGAUGAACUAUAUAGGCACCCUAAAACGGCAGGUUAUUUCCAUGUGUGCACUAAAGGCUAUAGGGAAUCGGAUGCCAUUUCUUUAAUGUAGAAUACUGUCAUAAAAGUCUGCCAUCUUAUUGCUUCAAGCAUGGGUACAGUGAAUGGUCUUCUACCUACAGUACAGCCGUGGAUCCCAAUAUUUGGCUGCCAAUUUGUGCACUUCUUAUUCCGUAAAGUGAAUAAAGCUGCUGAAGAAUUAAGCCAAUUCUAUGAAGAGAUUAAAUAUAUCAAUUAUAUAUACAGUACCAGGCAAACGUUUGGACACCUAAUCAUUACAGGGUUUUUAAAAACUAUUAUCUACACUGUUACUAUGAAAUAACACAUAUGGAGUCG